UUAGAACUUGUAAAGAGAUGGA
rnacentral:siRNA from 1 species